CCUACGGGAGGCAGCAGUGAGGAAUAUUGGUCAAUGGACGGAAGUCUGAACCAGCCAUGCCGCGUGCAGGAAGACGGCUCUAUGAGUUGUAAACUGCUUUUGUACAAGGGUAAACCUGAAUACGUGUAUUCAGCUGAAAGUACUGUACGAAUAAGGAUCGGCUAACUCCGUACCAGCAGCCGCGGUAAUACGGAGGAUCCAAGCGUUAUCCGGAUUUAUUGGGUGUAAAGGGUGCGUAGGCGGAUUGAUAAGUUAAAGGUGAAAUGUCCGAGCUUAACUCGGGAACUGGCUCUAAUACUGUUGCUCUAGAGAGUAGAUGCGGUAGGCGGAAUGUAUGGUGUAGCUGUGAAAUGCUUAGAGAUCAUACAGAACACCGAUUGCGAAGGCAGCUUACCAAUCUAUAUCUGACGUUGAGGCACGAAAGCGUGGGGAGCAAACAGGAUUAGAUACCCGGGUAGUC
rnacentral:rRNA from 1 species